rnacentral:rRNA from 1 species
AUAUUAAUAAGCGGAGGAAAAGAAACUAACAAGGAUUCCCCUAGUAACGGCGAGUGAAGCGGGAAGAGCUCAAAUUUGGAAUCUGGGUAGGUCUCCUACUCCGAGUUGUAAUCUAUAGACGUGUUUUCGGUGGUUGUGUUGGUAUAAAUCCUUUGGAACAGGGUAUCAUAGAGGGUGAAAAUCCCGUCUUUGACUGACAUACAACUGCCAUGUGAUACAUGUUCAAAGAGUCGCAUUGUUUGGGAAUGCAGCGCAAAGUAGGUGGUAAAUUCCAUCUAAAGCUAAAUAUUGGUGCGAGACCGAUAGCGAACAAGUACCGUGAGGGAAAGAUGAAAAGAACUUUGAAAAGAGAGUUAAAGAGUACCUGAAACUGCUGAAAGGGAACCGAAUCGUAUCCAGUGUCUAUAAUCCAUGGCAUAUUUCAUUGGCGAGUGAGUGCGUGCAGCGUUUUGGAAGUGGUUUUCCGCUCCUGUCGUUGUUGUGCAUUUGCUUGCUGGUGCCCUGUGCUGUGGUGGGACGUCAGAGUCAGUUUGUGUGUCGCGGGAAAUGGUUGUUGGGGAGGUAGGUCGCUUCGGUGGCUAUUAUAUCCUGGUAACUAGUCGUCGUGGCUGAGACUGAGGUGCCUACAAUGUGCUUUCGAGUGUGCGGGUUUCUCGUGUGGCUGUUUGCUUUGAUAGCUUGCUAUGUUGGUGAAUAAGUUGUGCGAUUGAGACCUGUAUUAACUUGUUGCCGUUCGGGACUUUGGCGAAAUGGAGCGAUCCGA